GCUUACACAUGCAAGUCGAACGGCAGCGCGGGGCACUGGCGGCGAGUGAGCGAACGGGUGAGUAAUAUAUCGGAACGUACCCUUGGGUGGGGGAUAACGUAGCGAAAGUUACGCUAAUACCGAUACGAUCUACGGAUGAAAGUGGGGAUUCGCAAGAACCUCAUGCUCAUGGAGCGCGAUAUCUGAUUAGCUAGUUGGUAGGGUAAAAGCCUACCAAGGCAUCGAUCAGUAGCUGGUCUGAGAGGACGACCAGCCACACUGGAACUGAGACACGGUCCAGACUCCUACGGGAGGCAGCAGUGGGGAAUUUUGGACAAUGGGCGAAAGCCUGAUCCAGCAAUGCCGCGUGAGUGAAGAAGGCCUUCGGGUUGUAAAGCUCUUUUGUCAGGGAAGAAACGGUGGUUUUUAAUACAGAUCACUAAUGACGGUACCUGAAGAAUAAGCACCGGCUAACUACGUGCCAGCAGCCGCGGUAAUACGUAGGGUGCAAGCGUUAAUCGGAAUUACUGGGCGUAAAGCGUGCGCAGGCGGUUAUGUAAGACAGAUGUGAAAUGCCCGGGCUUAACCUGGGAACUGCAUUUGUGACUGCAUGGCUAGAGUUUGGCAGAGGGGGGUAGAAUUCCACGUGUAGCAGUGAAAUGCGGUAAGAUAUGUGGAAGGGAAACAACCGGAUGGCCGGAAAGGGCAGGCCCCCCUUGGGGUCAAGACUGACGCUCAUGCACGAAAGCGUGGGGAGCAAACAGGAUUAGAUACCCUGGUAAGUCCACGGCCUAAAAGAUGUCUAACU
rnacentral:rRNA from 1 species